AUCCGGCUGAUGAAACCCGAACAGGACGAAACGCGCGUCCUGGAU
rnacentral:hammerhead_ribozyme from 1 species